ACGAACGCUGGCGGCGUGCUUAACACAUGCAAGUCGAACGGAAAGGCCCCCAUCUUGGUGGGGGUGCUCGAGUGGCGAACGGGUGAGUAACACGUGGGUGAUCUGCCCUGUACUUCGGGAUAAGCUUGGGAAACUGGGUCUAAUACCGGAUAGGACCAUGGUUUAGUGUCUCAUGGUGGAAAGAUUAUUGUUUUGGUGCAGGAUGAGCUCGCGGCCUAUCAGCUUGUUGGUGGGGUAAUGGCCUACCAAGGCGUCGACGGGUAGCCGGCCUGAGAGGGUGGACGGCCACAUUGGGACUGAGAUACGGCCCAGACUCCUACGGGAGGCAGCAGUGGGGAAUAUUGCACAAUGGGCGCAAGCCUGAUGCAGCGACGCCGCGUGGGGGAUGACGGCCUUCGGGUUGUAAACUCCUUUCGUUAGGGACGAAGCCGCACUUUUUUGGGGUGUGGUGACGGUACCUUUGUUAAGAAGCACCGGCUAACUACGUG
rnacentral:rRNA from 1 species